rnacentral:rRNA from 1 species
GACGAACGCUGGCGGCGUGCUUAACACAUGCGAGUCGAACGGAAAGGCCCUGCUUUUGUGGGGUGCUCGAGUGGCGAACGGGUGAGUAACACGUGAGUAACCUGCCCUUGACUUUGGGAUAACUUCAGGAAACUGGGGCUAAUACCGGGUAGGAGCUCCUGCUGCAUGGUGGGGUUGGAAAGUUUCGGCGGUUGGGGAUGGACUCGCGGCUUAUCAGCUUGUUGGUGGGGUAGUGGCUUACCAAGGCUUUGACGGGUAGCCGGCCUGAGAGGGUGACCGGCCACAUUGGGACUGAGAUACGGCCCAGACUCCUACGGGAGGCAGCAGUGGGGAAUAUUGCACAAUGGGCGGAAGCCUGAUGCAGCAACGCCGCGUGCGGGAUGACGGCCUUCGGGUUGUAAACCGCUUUCGCCUGUGACGAAGCGUGAGUGACGGUAAUGGGUAAAGAAGCACCGGCUAACUACGUG